rnacentral:tRNA from 1 species
GUAGUGUAAUAGGAUAAGCACAGUAGACCGGAUAUUUGUAGAUGCGGGUUCGAGUCCCGCC